CCAGCCACCGCGGUUAUACGAGAGACCCUAGUUGAUGACUACGGCGUAAAGAGUGGUUUGGGACCCDACAACAAUUAAAGCCAAAGACCUCCCAAGCUGUCAAACGCACCCCGGAGGCACGAAGCCCAACCACAAAAGUGGCUUUACCCUCUAUUCCCGACCCCACGAAAGCUAAAAGACAAACUGGGAUUAGAUACCCCACUAUGCUUAGCCCUAAACUCAGAUGGAAACUUACACCUAGCCUCCGCCAGGGUACUACGGGGCGUAGCUUAAAACCCAAAGGACUUGACGGUGUCUCAGACCCGCCUAGAGGAGCCUGUUCUAGAACCGAUAAUCCCCGU
rnacentral:rRNA from 1 species